rnacentral:rRNA from 1 species
CCUACGGGAGGCAGCAGUGGGGGAUAUUGCACAAUGGGGGGAACCCUGAUGCAGCGACGCCGCGUGGGUGAAGGAGCGUUUCGGCGCGUAAAGCCCUAUCGGCAGGGUAGAAGAUGACGGUACCUGGCCAAGAAGCCCCGGCUAACUACGUGCCAGCAGCCGCGGUAAAACGUCGGGGGCAAGCGUUAUCCGGAUUUACUGGGUGUAAAGGGGGCGCAGAUGGGAAUGCAAGCUAGGAGUGAAAGCUCGGGGCCCAACCCCGGGACUGCUCUUGACACUGCAUGGCUGGAGUACAGGAGGGGCAGGCGGAAUUCCUGGUGUAGCGGUGAAAUGCGUAGAUAUUAGGAGGAACACCGGUGGCGAAGGCAGCCUGCUGGACUGUGACUGACGUUGAGGCCCGAAGGCGUGGGGAGCAAACAGGAUUAGAUACCCGUGUAGUC